rnacentral:rRNA from 1 species
UGGGGAAUAUUGGACAAUGGGGGAAACCCUGAUCCAGCCAUGCCGCGUGAGUGAUGAAGGCUUUAGGGUUGUAAAGCUCUUUCGCCGAUGAAGAUAUUGACGGUAGUCGGAGAAGAAGCCCCGGCUAACUUCGUGCCAGCAGCCGCGGUAAUACGAAGGGGGCUAGCGUUGUUCGGAAUUACUGGGCGUAAAGCGAGCGUAGGUUGUGUCGCAAGUCAGUGGUGAAAUCCCGGAGCUUAACUUCGGAACUGCCAUUGAAACUGCGAUGCUAGAAUCUCGGAGGGGGUAGCGGAAUUCCAAAUGUAGGGGUGAAAUCCGUAGAUAUUUGGAGGAACACCGGUGGCGAAGGCGGCUACCUGGACGAGUAUUGACACUGAGGCUCGAAAGCGUGGGGAUCAAA